UUUCAGAUGGGCUCACGGCCUAUCAGCUUCGUUGGUGAGGUAAUCGGCUUACCAAGGCGAACGACGGGUAGCCGGCCUGAGAAGGGUCGACCGGCCACACUGGGACUGAGACACGGCCCAGACUCCUACGGGAGGCAGCAGUGGGGAAUAUUUGCACAAUGGGCGCAAGCCUGAUGCAGCGACCCUCCGUGAGGGAUGACGGCCUUCGGGUUUGUAAACCUCUGUUAGCAUCGAAGAAACGAAAGUUGACGGUAGGUGCAGAGAAAGCCCCGGCUAACUACGUUGCCAGCAGCCGCGGUAAUACGUAGGGCGCGAGCGUUGUCCGGAAUUAUUGGGCGUAAAGAGCUUGUAGGCGGUUGGUCGCGUCCUGCUGUGAAAGGCUGGGGCUUAACCCUGGUUUUGCAGUGGGUACGGGCUAACUAGAGUGCAGUAGGGGAGACUGGAAUUCCUGGUGUAGCGGUGGAAUGCGCAGAUAUCAGGAGGAACACCGAUGGCGAAGGCAGGUCUCUGGGCUGUAACUGACGCUGAGAAGCGAAAGCAUGGGGAGCGAACAGGAUUAGAUACCCUGGUAGUCCAUGCCGUAAACGUUGGGCACUAGGUGUGGGGGACAUUCCACGUUUUCCGCGCCGUAGCUAACGCAUUAAGUGCCCCGCCUGGGGAGUACGGCCGCAAGGCUAAAACUCAAAGAAAUUGACGGGGGCCCGCACAAGCGGCGGAGCAUGCGGAUUAAUUCGAUGCAACGCGAAGAACCUUACCAAGGCUUGACAUAUACUGGACUGCGUCAGAGAUGGCGUUUCCCUUCGGGGCUGGUAUACAGGUGGUGCAUGGUUGUCGUCAGCUCGUGUCGUGAGAUGUUGGGUUAAGUCCCGCAACGAGCGCAACCCUCGUUCUAUGUUGCCAGCACGUGAUGGUGGGGACUCAUAGGAGACUGCCGGGGUCAACUCGGAGGAAGGUGGGGAUGACGUCAAAUCAUCAUGCCCCUUAUGUCUUGGGCUUCACGCAUGCUACAAUGGCCGGUACAGAGGGUUGCGAUACUGUGAGGUGGAGCUAAUCCCUAAAAGCCGGUCUCAGUUCGGAUUGGGGUCUGCAACUCGACCCCAUGAAGUCGGAGUCGCUAGUAACCGCAGAUCAGCAACGCUGCGGUGAAUACGUUCCCGGGCCUUGUACACACCGCCCGUC
rnacentral:rRNA from 1 species